GCCCACCAUCCCCCUCCAGAAGCAUGUCACCAUUGCCCUCUGGAAACUCUCCAUGCCGAAUAGCUACCGAUCCAUGGGGAACCAAUUCAGCAUGGGGCGAUCAACCAUCGGGGCCCUUCUCGGGCAGGUGGUCAGGGCCAUCAACAGCAUCCUGCUGUGCAGAAUCAUCCACCUGGCAGAUGUGGACGCAGCCCUGGAGGGGUUUGGCAUACUGGGAUUCCCCAACCACGCGAACUUCUAAUCGCUUCAGGCCAAGUUAAUUUUGCACCUCUGAAGAAGUGCUCAAAAUCCUCUAGUGUUCUUCUUAUUCUGUGAUUAGGAGACAGAAAACCUUCAGCCUGGUAUUCGAGGACUUGCCAUGAAAGUCCCAUUAACAUUAACAGAAGCCGUGAAUGUAAUUCUCUAUGCAGUAAUGGAAAAUAUGCCUCUUGUUCUUUAUGGAAUAUUCUGUUUAGUUCUCUUUGCAGCCAAAACCUGUUUUAUCUUACC